CGGGGUCUAAUACCGGAUAUCACCGGNUCUCGCAUGGGGGNUNGUUGAAAGUUCUGGCGGUACAGGAUGAACCCGCGGCCUAUCAGCUUGUUGGUGGGGUAAUGGCCUACCAAGGCGACGACGGGUAGCCGGCCUGAGAGGGUGACCGGCCACACUGGGACUGAGACACGGCCCAGACUCCUACGGGAGGCAGCAGUGGGGAAUAUUGCACAAUGGGCGAAAGCCUGAUGCAGCGACGCCGCGUGAGGGAUGACGGCCUUCGGGUUGUAAACCUCUUUCGCCAGGGACGAAGCGCAAGUGACGGUACCUGGAUAAGAAGCACCGGCUAACUACGUGCCAGCAGCCGCGGUAAUACGUAGGGUGCAAGCGUUGUCCGGAAUUAUUGGGCGUAAAGAGCUCGUAGGCGGUUUGUCGCGUCGGCUGUGAAAUCUGGAGGCUUAACCUUCAGCGUGCAGUCGAUACGGGCAGACUUGAGUUCGGUAGGGGAGACUGGAAUUCCUGGUGUAGCGGUGAAAUGCGCAGAUAUCANGAGGAACACCGGUGGCGAANGCGGGUCUCUGGGCCGAUACUGACGCUGAGGAGCGAAAGCGUGGGGAGCGAA
rnacentral:rRNA from 1 species